rnacentral:lncRNA from 1 species
AGCGCGACAUGAUGCUAUGGCCGUCGGAUGGAUAAUAUUUUGAAUAAGGACUAGGAACUUACAGAUUUGUCUGUGAGGAGCAAAUAGAUAGACUGUCAUCGAACUCCUCGGCCUCUUGAGGAGAGGAAUUCGCGGAUAAAACUUGAAAGUAAGGAUGCACUAUUAGUAAGCUUUUCCGCAAAAUACUUUGGCUCCUUGCUCAGCCACCCC